GACAGAGGGGGCAAGCGUUGCUCGGAAUUACUGGGCGUAAAGGGCGCGUAGGCGGGAUGGCAAGUCGGUCGUGAAAUCCCUCGGCUCAACCGAGGAACGUCGAUCGAUACUGCUGUUCUUGAGGAUUGCAGAGGAGACUGGAAUUCCCGGUGUAGCGGUGAAAUGUGUAGAGAUCGGGAGGAACACCGGUGGCGAAGGCGGGUCUCUGGGCAAUAACUGACGCUGAGGAGCGAAAGCGUGGGGAGCGAACAGG
rnacentral:rRNA from 1 species